AUGGGGAGAGGCAGGGAGGACCUGGGUGAGGGCCCGGAGGGCUGGUGCUGCCCAGAACGGCCCAGGACCUUGCCUCUGCCCACGUCCCCAGGGUGGAGGCCUCCUUGGCCGGUGCAUCUGCCACCACCAUGGAGGUGGAGACCGCCAGCCAGGCCUCGGAACCCGCCAGCCAGGCCUCGGACGAGGAGGACACGCCUGCUGCGGACAUCUACUUCGACGGAAGCACCUGCGUGCUUUUUUAGAAAAAAAAAAAAAAGAAACAAACAAACAGGAAGAGAUUCCAGCGCUGCUCUGCGGCCCGCGUGCUGGCCCGUCUGCCACUCCAGGGACCCGGCCCAGCUGCCCAGAGCCCACACUCCAUCUCAGCCCAGCGGCCUGCGGAGGAGACCCGUGGCUGAGGAGGCAAAGGCCACUGUCUUUGAGGGUCCUGAGGCCACCCCGUCCUCACCUGGAAGCAGGAUCCCCCUCCCUCGGCCCAGGUGGGGGCCCUUGCGAGGCACGACAUCCCUCAGCAGUGGCCUUCACACCUGUUUCCUGCCACUAGGAGGGACGGCCCGAGACUGGGCAUCCAGCAAGAAGGUCGCAGCCCAGACCUGGCACUGGGAGCCCCCACAGCUGCUCCCUCCUGGCGGAGCCCAGGGCUGGGGGCGGGUAGAGGGGGACUGGCUGUCCCUGCCCAGCUCACUGGUGCCAGUGGAGAGGACCCCCUGCGGACACACCCCUUCAAAGCAGUGUCCAGCUUUGGGAGGAGAGGCGGCCAGCCCUCCGGUCACUGGGCACCACAGCUGGCAUCCCAGUGAGGGCCAGGCUGUGCUCAGGCCUGCGUGGCACGUCGGGGCACAUGUGCCCCGGGGGGGUGACCCUCUUCAGGGAUGGCCAUGCAUGUUUCCACUUGUCAUCUCCAGCAGGGACAACUGCUCCUAGGGGGACGGUGACCCCAGAGCCCCAUGGGGCAGUCACCUGGGCCCCACUGUGUCUAGAGGGGGCAGGUUGGAGCCACCACUGCCUCCCACAGGACCCCUGGAGGGGCUUGUUGGUGGCAGGGCCUCAGUGGGCACAGGGGGAGGGGACCUGCAGCAGAAGCCGCACUGGCCUUUGCAGGGCAGAACGGCACAGGGACCAGUCCACCCAGGAACGUGAAAGCCUGUCCAUCACCUCGCGUCUCCCUGGCCGCUGCUCAGGCCCUCCUGGUCUCCCCCUGCAGCAACGGCAGGGAUCCAGUCAUCUCACGACCCUCACCUGGUGGCUGAUGCAGGGGCUCAGAGACCCCAUCAGGAGGAGCCUAUCUGGGGUCCCCAGUACCCGCCCGUCUCUGCCCAAGAAGGGUUUGUUUAGACAGAGCGUCUUUGGCCCUGUGUGCUGUCCCUGACAGUCCCUGCCCAUCCUCGUGAAGGACACCCUGCAGACACCCUAGGGAUCAGGGCAGAGAUCACAAGGGGCAUUUAGGAUCUGGAUGACUCGCAGGCACAGCUGCGUGGUCACUGCACCUGGGUCCCCAGGGGGCUGGCACCAGGAACAGGAGCCUGUGGAGGUGGCCUGGAGCCGUGGGCACCACCGCUCGUGCAGCCAGUGCCAUCCAGGGUGACUUGGCAAGACAGGGAGUGGCUGCUGCAGCCCCUUGGGCCUGGGUGAUCAGAGGCCACGUGUGCUGGUGCGGCCACAGCAGGAGAGACUCAGAAGACCCCACGGACGUCAUGGCAGUUCCAUUUUUGUGUUAAGUGUCACAAAGAACCCCUUGGAGAUCUAUGUUGUGCAGUGUUUGUUUUUUUUUUUUCCUUUUGUGGACUGUCAAGCAGAUGUUAAAGUGCCCCUCUGAGCUUGUCAAGAGCCAUGUUUGCUUAUGAUUUGGGGAGCUGGGGGGAGCAAAGGCCUGUUUCUGAUGGUGGGUACACUCCUGGCCUUCCUCAGACUCCCCGUGAGGAAGGCACCGGGCCCACCGGCCGCCUCCCCUCCCAGGAGAUCUGUAAAUACUGUCGUGAUCUGCUGCCCGGCUUGGCCCUCUGAUGGCUACUACUGCUCAGGCUGUGGCCGGUGUCCAGAUGCAGCUGUGAAUCAUAAAGAACUCAGAGGCCGACAAGGUGGAGACUCCCACAAGUCCUCUUCCAGCCUCUGUCCCUUCUAAGCCAUUCCAAUGCGUCCCUGUGCACCCCCACACCUGGCUCAGUGCAAUACUCCUGUCCCAAUGGGGUCCCAUGCCAUGGUACUCUCGCCGCAGCCCCUCGGUCCCCACCCCAGGACAACAUCCCCCCUCUUUUUCUCUGGUGGUUGAAAACUGCGUCCCCUGACCCUGCCCCGUCUUGUUUUUAUGGCCGAGCCAAUUCCAAAACAACUGCAAAACUUGUGUGUCUUAACUGUCACUGGGGGUUCCUCGUCCUCAGCCCCUGUGGUCUGGUGUGUGACAAUCCAGAGCAUGGCUUCCCAUGGCACUGACAAGGAGGCCGUGUCCCUCCAACCCAGAGUGCGGGGUGCCUCUGACAGUGCAGCUGCUGCUGGCCCCAGAGAGCACUUGUACGCAGCUCGGGCCCCACCCCCACCACUCCCCCCUUUUUAUGUUGAGGAUGUUCUAAUAAAUCGGGUAUGAACAUCGACCUGCCUCUGCUG
rnacentral:lncRNA from 1 species